rnacentral:rRNA from 1 species
UGGGGAAUAUUGCACAAUGGGCGCAAGCCUGAUGCAGCCAUGCCGCGUGUGUGAAGAAGGCCUUCGGGUUGUAAAGCACUUUCAGCGGGGAGGAAGGCGAUAAGGUUAAUAACCUUGUCGAUUGACGUUACCCGCAGAAGAAGCACCGGCUAACUCCGUGCCAGCAGCCGCGGUAAUACGGAGGGUGCAAGCGUUAAUCGGAAUUACUGGGCGUAAAGCGCACGCAGGCGGUCUGUCAAGUCGGAUGUGAAAUCCCCGGGCUCAACCUGGGAACUGCAUUCGAAACUGGCAGGCUAGAGUCUUGUAGAGGGGGGUAGAAUUCCAGGUGUAGCGGUGAAAUGCGUAGAGAUCUGGAGGAAUACCGGUGGCGAAGGCGGCCCCCUGGACGAAGACUGACGCUCAGGUGCGAAAGAGUGGGGAGCAAACAGG